GCCUGUCUGGUGGCACUGCUCCCUGGCAGUGGAGCAGCGGAGAAAAAGGAGGUGUUGGAAUAGGCUGUUCUUGGUAUUUUUGUCUGCUGUGUGCAGUCAGGAUAAGGCCCAUAAUCCUUAUGUCUUAGUUUGGAUGGAAGGGACAAGGAAACUAGAAGAAAGCGUACAACAUUCCCUAAGCAUCAGUGAAAACCCAAGGGUAUUGUGCACCCAUUUGUGACUGUGUCUUUGAAAUCACGUCUGAAUUACAGCUUUAUUAGAAUUUGUUUUGGAAAUGUUUUCAUUCAAUGCAUUAAAAUUAGAACACGAGACAGCUUUUCAGCCUGUAAGUAUUUAUGAAGACCUCGCCCAGGUGCUGUGAACCCAGUAGACACAAUGUACCAGCCAUUUGACACUUUUGUGUGGAAGUCAUUAAACCAAGGCAGUGGUGUUAUUAAAAUAGAAUUAUCUUCUUCAUGACGUUUAGAGUAGGUUGCAUUCAUUUCCCUCUGAACAUUAAUUCAAAGUGAAAGAAACUGAGUCAAAUUCUAGAUUUACAUUUCUCAUAAAAAAAAAAAAAAUCUUCUUGCUUUGAUUUUAGGUGGUUACUGGAAGUAUACACAGUUCUGAAUUGGCUACUCCAGACUCUUUCAAGUGAACUCACAAAUAAAC
rnacentral:lncRNA from 1 species